UACAGAGGUCCCAAGCGUUGUUCGGAUUCACUGGGCGUAAAGGGUGCGUAGGCGGUCGUGUAAGUCUGAUGUGAAAUCUCACAGCUUAACUGUGAAACUGCAUUGGAUACUAUCCGGCUAGAGGAAUGGAGGGGAGACUGGAAUACUUGGUGUAGCAGUGAAAUGCGUAGAUAUCAAGUGGAACACCAGUGGCGAAGGCGAGUCUCUGGACAUUUCCUGACGCUGAGGCACGAAAGCCAGGGGAGCAAACGGG
rnacentral:rRNA from 1 species